AUACGAAGGUGGCUAGCGUUGUUCGGAAUUACUGGGCGUAAAGCGCGCGUAGGCGGAUUGGUCAGUUAGGGGUGAAAUCCCAGGGCUUAACCCUGGAACUGCCUCUAAUACUGCCAGUCUUGAGUUCGGGAGAGGUGAGUGGAAUUCCUAGUGUAGAGGUGAAAUUCGUAGAUAUUAGGAAGAACACCAGUGGCGAAGGCGGCUCACUGGCCCGAUACUGACGCUGAGGCGCGAAAGCGUGGGGAGCAAACAGGAUUAGAAACCCUAGUAGUCC
rnacentral:rRNA from 1 species